AGGACAGGCCUUUCAGGCAUCCUCUCCCAAACUUUCAAAGGGGCCGACGCAAGUUGGCCCCCUUUUUUUGCCGAUC
rnacentral:sRNA from 1 species